ensembl:lncRNA
AUAGACAAUAAUAAAGAUCGCAGGCCAAAGCGGGACCUUAUUACGAAGGAGAAACGUAAACUGGAGGAGUCAAUUGCUUCGUACAACAGUCUUGUACCUGACACGGCGGCUGUUGAUACAGCAGAUGCCAUUCUGAGUCAGGAAUUCCCCAUUUGGCCAUGGGAUUCUGCAUCCACAAUCCCCCUCGAGACCAAGAAGGUGGUUUUUGACAAAACCAUGCUGCUGUCUCGAGUCCAGGAAGAGGAUGGGAUUCUCAUUAAGGAGAUGAGGAACCACUGCCGCUACCUGACUGGAUCCUCAAAAGCGGUCAAAAGAGAGAUCCAUCAGAUUGAGGAGGACCUGUCUAAACACAGCUCUCCUCCUCCUAACAUGUCCUUGCAGGCCUAUGAGGGGCUGAAGUGCUUGUUGCUACAAAAGCUACAGGGGUUGACCAAACAGAUGGAUGAGGCCUUCACUACAUACAGGUAUAGAAUAUAAAUCAUCCGAAACAGCAGUGCGAAUGUAUUGACAGACCCCACUGCGCUUCGGGAAGAGAUUGAAGGCAUAGAGGAGAUGGAGGAGGAGGAGGAGGGGAGAUUCCAUUGUCCCUUGACGAGACUGACUCUGACAAUGCUGAAUAACGCGUCUCUGCAGGAGGAGAUUGAGCGGAAGGAGGGAUAAUUUGACAAGAUAUGUUGUAAAAAUGUUUAACUGGCCUCAUCGCAUAAUAUAAUCUAUAAAAACAAACUGUUCAAAA